UACGUAGGGUGCGAGCGUUGUCCGGAAUUAUUGGGCGUAAAGAGCUCGUAGGCGGUGUGUCGCGUCGGCCGUGAAAACCUGGGGCUCAACUCUGGGCGUGCGGUCGAUACGGGCAUCACUUGAGUUCGGCAGGGGAGACUGGAAUUCCUGGUCGUAGCGGUGAAAUGCGCAGAUAUCAGGAGGAACACCGGUGGCGAAGGCGGGUCUCUGGGCCGAUACUGACGCUGAGGAGCGAAAGCAUGGGUAGCGAACAGG
rnacentral:rRNA from 1 species